rnacentral:lncRNA from 1 species
UCGUGCAAUACGAUUCAUGAAGUUGUCAUAGACGUGUAUCUACGAUCAACGGCCGGUCAGCUUACUUGCAGACACAGUGGCAUUGUGAUGUGGUGGCAGGUGGAGGGUUUAGCACGCUGCAUCCCCAUAUUUUGCACAUACCCCCUUACCUCUGUCUCGAUGCUUCAGGUUCUCUAUUGUCGAUCAUGGCACGCGAAGCGGAGGUGCCUGCAAUUGCAGAGUGAUCGGUGGCAGGAGAGAAGGAACAGACGAGUGAAGCCUCCUCCACAGAACUAGAUGGAACUGCACCGGCAGAGACCCGGCAGCCCCCCUCCCAACUAUGGUAAAUGAUCUCCGUUCCCAUACUUCUGUUCUUGCAGAUUUGGGUUCCCAUACUUCUGUUCUUGCAGAUUCGGGGUUUCGCCUGUUGUAUUAUGAUGCAAUUUGGUUGGAUGUAGUGCAGUUCAGGGUUAGGGCCAGGAUGAAUAGCAGAUAUGUAAUGGGGUGAGUUGAUGCAAGAUGGAUCGAAUUCCUGCUAGGGUUCAUUUGUGCUGUGACGGCUUGCAGUCAGUGGGCAUGAUGUUUGGAUUUUCAGUAGUAAAUUGGGUCAUCUUGUUCACAUGGCCACCCCUGAACAUUGCGGUGGCCUCCCAUGGACGGGCAGGAUUACCCCUUCCGGUCUCUGCUCGGCACCCCAAGGCAUCGCAGAAAGUAGGCAGGACAACCACACAGCUGCUACCUGUUGAGUGCUAACUAGUAGCUGCAAUUUGUUCAAUGACUAUGUGUCUGACUGAGUUAAAUCCUAGCAAAGAAAGAAUUGAGUUUUUUAGGAGAAGAGCUGAACUAGCAUCACAGCAUGCUUUAUCUGAUAUUACACUUUCACUUGGAUUAGUCAUACAUCUCUAUAAUUCUGCAAAUGAAUUUUAGGAUUUUUCACAAUGCCAUAGUUUGUCGUCCAUCUAUAUAUUUGCAUAACAUUCUCCACGACCUUGGCAACCCCCAUGAUGAUUCCCCCUUUUCUAUGUGAUGUGUGUUGGAACUGAAACCAUGGGCUUAUAUAAGUCUAGAAAGUGGAUAUGUGAUGUGUGUUGGAACUGAAACUCUUUCUGUUUUGAUUCGGUCAUAUCUGUGUUGUGCAGUCAGGUUAUAGCAUGGUAAAAUCAAAAAUAUUUUUUCCUGAAUAAUCUGUUUUGAUUUAGUCAUAUCUGUGUGUUGUUUAUUGUAGGUUCAUCAGAUGAGCUUUUCAAUGUGGAGAUACACCACUCAGGAUUCUUUUGUGGAGUUGGCGAAAAGGUGUAGACCUUGUGUAGUUGUGUUGAUACCUGUCACAUCAAAACAAGAUAUGGCAAUCAAAUGUUCGCUAGAGUUGGGAUAGAUAGCAAUGACUCCAUUUGAGCUUGAGGGAGGGACCAAGAUCAGCAAACAUAGAGUAACCAUGCAUCGUAGACAUGCAAGUCUGCUGAUCACAACAAGAAGGGGCACUACAAGUAUGCACAGCAAAUCCUAGGCGUGGAUGGAUCUAGCAGGGAAGCUACAAACGGUGCUCAUUUACAAGAAGAUGAUGAUCCAAAAAUCCUUCAGGUACAGUGAGUGCGCCAUGAUAUGUGCACUACCAUUUUAAUCUGUGUUAUUGUCUUUCACCAAACUGAUGUAAUUAUGUGGCAUUGCAGAACAUAAUACCAAACAAAGAAAACCCAUCCACGGAACCAAGUCAGAUAGGUGGGAGCAUGGCCUUCAAUUUGCUCCAUGAGGUCUGUAUCUUUUGCACUAACUCAUAGUCGUGUCUCUUGUGAAAGCUUUGUCCCCUUAUUGUUUCUUGUGCAGGAUCCACUACUAAACAGCUCUAUAGGCAGCCACGAGGUCCACUUUCGGAGUCAACUUUUGUUGAACAGCACGGGGAUACAAGGCCACCUCGCUCCAUCCUCCAAGAGUGACCACUGCGAUACUAGUCGAGGCAGGACAAGGAGGAGGGCUACGGGCACUAGUCGAGGUGGUGGCUCAGGACUGACCUGUAAUGAUACAGGUCAUGGUGGAAGGGCUAGUAGCGCAAGAGGACGUGGUGGGAGGGCUAGCACCAAAUGUGAUGUGGUGGAAGGCCUAGCAGCACAACAGAUGACACGGUACUAGCAGGUGAUACAGAAGGGACAGCAAGAUUCAGGCACUGAAGAGAUUGAAAUGACCCAAGUUCACCAGCAGAUAACCAGGAAGCUCAGGAAGGCAGCAGAUACUUGUCCUUUAAAUACCAUCACUUGUGCUCAGUGUGUGUUCAGUUAACUCGAAUUCCGUAUUGGUUAUGAUUC